AUAAUAAUAAUAAUAAUAAUCUCACAGAAGACACAAAAAUCUGCUACUGUUGUUUCUAACGUAUCUUUUUUUUAAGAUUCCAAUCAUUUUUCCCUGAAAAAUACAGUGUUGUAUCAAUUCCUUUCAUACAACUACAACAAGCAAAUGCAGAUAUGGAUAUCUAUGCACAGAGAAGAAACAAUCCCCCCUCCCCAAGGUAAGCAAAAUUGAAGAGAGAGACAAAAAAAAGGGAGACCUUUUACAGGGCUGCAUUCCAUCAAGUUUCUUCUCUUGUUGCAAGAGAACAAGAAUGGUGAAGGAAAUUCAAAUAAAAAUAUUUUCUGCUUGCAAUUAUGAAAAAUUUACAGCAGAAUCUUAGUUGCUUAUGCGAUCUAACAAAAAUUGGAUCCCAAAGGUCUUCAAACAGGGAUGGAAAAAGCUUGGAAUUAUAUUGUGUCUGUGAUCAUAGGCUAGUUCAAGUUUAUUUCACAUGCAAAACAAAUGCCACUGCAUCAUGCAAUAAUAAAUUUAAGAAAUAUAGUGCUAAUGACUUGAAAUAUCCAAUAUUAGUUCAAUAUUCAGUUAAGGCCAAUGCUUUUAAGUGUCAAUUAACAUUUACUUUGUUGUUAGCAUCAAUUAUGGCUUGCAAAUGUUUAUUAAAUAACUCAUAUAAAUUAAAAAAUUAACCAUAAUCGAAAAUCGGACCAAAGGCUUACUUUUUUCAAGGUAUUAACCAGUAGCUUAAUGGUAAAAAAAAAGAAUAAAAAUCUUUUGGGUGUUUUUGUAAUUUUGUCCAAUCCUUUUAACUUCAGCAAUUAUUUUCUUGAUUUUAAAACUUAGUUGUA
rnacentral:misc_RNA from 1 species